UGGAUCCAGACUUUGAUCAUGGCUCAGGAUGAACGCUGGCGGCGUGCCUAACACAUGCAAGUCGAGCGAUUUACUUCGGUAAAGAGCGGCGGACGGGUGAGUAACGCGUGGGUAACCUGCCCUGUACACACGGAUAACAUACCGAAAGGUAUGCUAAUACGAGAUAAAAUACUUUUAUCGCAUGGUAGAAGUAUCAAAGCUUUUGCGGUACAGGAUGGACCCGCGUCUGAUUAGCUAGUUGGUAGGUAACGGCUUACCAAGGCGACGAUCAGUAGCCGACCUGAGAGGGUGAUCGGCCACAUUGGAACUGAGACACGGUCCAAACUCCUACGGGAGGCAGCAGUGGGGAAUAUUGCACAAUGGGCGAAAGCCUGAUGCAGCAACGCCGCGUGAGCGAUGAAGGCCUUCGGGUCGUAAAGCUCUGUCCUCAAGGAAGAUAAUGACGGUACCUGAGGAGGAAGCCCCGGCUAACUACGUGCCAGCAGCCGCGGUAAUACGUAGGGGGCUAGCGUUAUCCGGAAUUACUGGGCGUAAAGGGUGCGUAGGUGGUUUCUUAAGUCAGAGGUGAAAGGCUACGGCUCAACCGUAGUAAGCCUUUGAAACUGGGGAACUUGAGUGCAGGAGAGGAGAGUGGAAUUCCUAGUGUAGCGGUGAAAUGCGUAGAUAUUAGGAGGAACACCAGUUGCGAAGGCGGCUCUCUGGACUGUAACUGACACUGAGGCACGAAAGCGUGGGGAGCAAACAGGAUUAGAUACCCUGGUAGUCCACGCCGUAAACGAUGAGUACUAGCUGUCGGAGGUUAUCCCCUUCGGUGGCGCAGCUAACGCAUUAAGUACUCCGCCUGGGAAGUACGCUCGCAAGAGUGCAACUCAAGGGAAUUGACGGA
rnacentral:rRNA from 1 species